rnacentral:lncRNA from 1 species
UUGAUGCAGUGUAGAUCUGUGCUUAGCAAACUCAGAAGGCCCUGUCACCACCAGGAAGGAAGAGACCCCACGACUGAGGGCAGUGGGCUAUGAGAUUUGUGACCCUUUCCUCUGCCUGCCUCUGCCCCUGCCCAUUGGGACCCUGCUGGACCAGGCAUCCAUCCUAUGGAAAUCUCCAUGAAGCGUCGACCUCCCUGCCCCCCAGGCAUUGGACAGGGGCCAGGAAAUGGAAUGAAAGCAGCCACUGUCUGAAGAGCUGGAGACCAUCAUCUGCCUCUGGAAGCCCAGAGAACCUCGGCUCAGACAGAAGGACAGAGACUGAGGGAAGGGAGAGAGACUGUGACAGAGAAGCAGAGGAGGGUGACAGAGUCAGGGAGGAACAAAACAGCCUGCAGUGGGAGCAGAGAC